rnacentral:rRNA from 1 species
GACGAACGCUGGCGGCGUGCUUAACACAUGCAAGUCGAACGGAAAGGCCCUGCUUUUGUGGGGUGCUCGAGUGGCGAACGGGUGAGUAACACGUGAGUAACCUGCCCUUGACUUUGGGAUAACUUCAGGAAACUGGGGCUAAUACCGGAUAGGAGCUCCUGCUGCAUGGUGGGGGUUGGAAAGUUUCGGCGGUUGGGGAUGGACUCGCGGCUUAUCAGCUUGUUGGUGGGGUAGUGGCUUACCAAGGCUUUGACGGGUAGCCGGCCUGAGAGGGUGACCGGCCACAUUGGGACUGAGAUACGGACCAGACUCCUACGGGAGGCAGCAGUGGGGAAUAUUGCACAAUGGGCGGAAGCCUGAUACAGCAACGCCGCGUGCGGGAUGACGGCCUUCGGGUUGUAAACCGCUUUCGCCUGUGACGAAGCGUGAGUGACGGUAAUGGGUAAAGAAGCACCGGCUAACUACGUG